AGGGUUCGAUUCUGGCUCAGGAUGAACGCUGGCGGCGUGCUUAACACAUGCAAGUCGAACGGGAUCCCGGGGGUUCGCUUCCGGGUGAGAGUGGCGAACGGGUGAGUAAUGCGUGACCGACCUGCCCCAUACACCGGAAUAGCUCCUGGAAACGGGUGGUAAUGCCGGAUGCUCCGGUUGGAUGCAUGUCCUUCCGGGAAAGAUUCCAUCGGUAUGGGAUGGGGUCGCGUCCUAUCAGCUUGAUGGCGGGGUAACGGCCCACCAUGGCUUCGACGGGUAGCCGGCCUGAGAGGGCGACCGGCCACAUUGGGACUGAGAUACGGCCCAGACUCCUACGGGAGGCAGCAGUGGGGAAUAUUGCACAAUGGGCGCAAGCCUGAUGCAGCGACGCCGCGUGCGGGAUGGAGGCCUUCGGGUUGUAAACCGCUUUUGAUCGGGAGCAAGCCCUUCGGGGUGAGUGUACCUUUCGAAUAAGCACCGGCUAACUACGUGCCAGCAGCCGCGGUAAUACGUAGGGUGCAAGCGUUAAUCGGAAUUACUGGGCGUAAAGCGUGCGCAGGCGGUUCUGUAAGACAGAUGUGAAAUCCCCGGGCUCAACCUGGGAAUGGCAUUUGUGACUGCAGGACUAGAGUUCAUCAGAGGGGGGUGGAAUUCCAAGUGUAGCAGUGAAAUGCGUAGAUAUUUGGAAGAACACCAAUGGCGAAGGCAGCCCCCUGGGAUGCGACUGACGCUCAUGCACGAAAGCGUGGGGAGCAAACAGGAUUAGAUACCCUGGUAGUCCACGCCCUAAACGAUGUCUACUGGUUGUUGGGAAUUUAAUAUUCUUGGUAACGAAGCUAACGCGUGAAGUAGACCGCCUGGGGAGUACGGUCGCAAGAUUAAAACUCAAAGGAAUUGACGGGGACCCGCACAAGCGGUGGAUGAUGUGGAUUAAUUCGAUGCAACGCGAAAAACCUUACCUAGCCUUGACAUGCCGAGAAUCCCGAAGAGAUUUGGGAGUGCCCGUAAGGGAACUUGGACACAGGUGCUGCAUGGCUGUCG
rnacentral:rRNA from 1 species